rnacentral:lncRNA from 1 species
AGGAAUUCCAUACUAUCGAGAUCUACCAAACGACCAUGGGCUAUGGGUUUUUCUUUGAGGGAAUUAAAGAGAUCCCUAUUUGGGGAGUCCCAUAAAUUGAGGUCGGAUUCAAAAGAGGCAGAGAAAUAAAACUUGGUUUUCUUGGGAGUGGAGACAGGGGGUUCAUCCAUGGGUCGUUUACCAGCAGCUUUGUCACCAAGAAGCAGG